UAAUAAAUAAGUUUGGUUGUAAAUAAAGAUUUAGAGAAAAGAUGAAAAGAAUUAUUCAUCUUCUUCUCCUCCAAGUCAAUGGGUGAUAGAAAGACAAGAUAAGUAUAAGAAGGAAGGUAAAGGUGAAAGAGCUCCAUCUUGGGAUUCUAGCAACAAGAGUGCUGGUGUUCAUGGAAAAUGGCCAAAGGCUCGGACUAAGUUAGUAAGCUCAAGUUCAAGAAAUUAAGGUUUUGAGGGUCACGAUGGGACAACGAUGUUAUGAGAGGAGUCUCAACGAGAGUACUAGAGUAAGACGAUGAAGACAUAUAGAGAUUACGAAUUUAUUCGAGUCAGUUGUAAAUUAUUUUAUUGCGUAUUUUGGUUUUCAA